UAGGGUAAUGAAGCGAACCGGGAGAACUGAAACAUCUAAGUACCCCGAGGAAAAGAAAUCAAACGAGAUUCCCCCAGUAGCGGCGAGCGAACGGGGAGCAGCCCAGGACCUUAAUCAGUAUCAGUGUUAAGAGAACAGUCUGGAAAGGCUGGCCACAGCAGGUGAUAGCCCUGUAUCUGAAAGCACUGGUAUUGUGAGUCCGAUGAGUAAGGCGGGACACGUGUUAUCCUGUCUGAAUAUGGGGGGACCAUCCUCCAAGGCUAAAUACUCCUGACUGACCGAUAGUGAACCAGUACCGUGAGGGAAAGGCGAAAAGAACCCCGGCGAGGGGAGUGAAAAAGAACCUGAAACCGUGUA
rnacentral:rRNA from 1 species